AGAUUGAACGCUGGCGGCAUGCCUUACACAUGCAAGUCGAACGCGAAAGCGGGGCAACCCGCAAGUAGAGUGGCGAACGGGUGAGUAAUACAUCGGAACAUUUCCAGUAGCGGGGGAUAACCUGUCGAAAGAUAGGCUAAUACCGCAUACGACCUAAGGGUGAAAGCGGAGGACCGCAAGGCUUCGCACUAUUGGAGUGGCCGAUGUCGGAUUAGCUAGUUGGCGGGGUAACAGCCCACCAAGGCUACGAUCCGUAGCUGGUCUGAGAGGACGAUCAGCCACACUGGAACUGAGACCACGGUCCAGACUCCUACGGGAGCAGCAGUGGGGAAUUU
rnacentral:rRNA from 1 species